rnacentral:rRNA from 1 species
AGAGUUUGAUCAUGGCUCAGAGCGAACGCUGGCGGCAGGCUUAACACAUGCAAGUCUAACGGACGCAGCAAUGCGUCAGUGGCAGACGGGUGAGUAACACGUGGGAACGUGCCCUUCGGUUCGGAACAACCCAGGGAAACUUGGGCUAAUACCGGAUACGUCCGCAAGGAGAAAGAUUUAUCGCCGAAGGAUCGGCCCGCGUCUGAUUAGCUUGUUGGUGAGGUAACGGCUCACCAAGGCGACGAUCAGUAGCUGGUCUGAGAGGAUGAUCAGCCACACUGGGACUGAGACACGGCCCAGACUCCUACGGGAGGCAGCAGUGGGGAAUAUUGGACAAUGGGCGCAAGCCUGAUCCAGCCAUGCCGCGUGGGUGAUGAAGGCCUUAGGGUUGUAAAGCCCUUUCGGCGGGGAAGAUAAUGACGGUACCCGCAGAAGAAGCCCCGGCUAACUUCGUGCCAGCAGCCGCGGUAAUACGAAGGGGGCUAGCGUUGUUCGGAAUUACUGGGCGUAAAGCGCGCGUAGGCGGAUUGUUAAGUCAGGGGUGAAAUCCCGAGGCUCAACCUCGGAACUGCCUUUGAUACUGGCGAUCUUGAGUCCGGGAGAGGUGAGUGGAAUUCCUAGUGUAGAGGUGAAAUUCGUAGAUAUUAGGAAGAACACCAGUGGCGAAGGCGGCUCACUGGCCCGGUACUGACGCUCAUGUGCGAAAGCGUGGGGAGCAAACAGGAUUAGAUACCCUAGUAGUCC